CCUACGGGAGGCAGCAGUGGGGAAUUUUGGACAAUGGGCGCAAGCCUGAUCCAGCCAUGCCGCGUGUGUGAAGAAGGCCUUCGGGUUGUAAAGCACUUUCGGCCGGAACGAAAUCGCCUACGUUAAUAGCGGAGGUGGAUGACGGUACCGGAAGAAGAAGCACCGGCUAACUACGUGCCAGCAGCCGCGGUAAUACGUAGGGUGCGAGCGUUAAUCGGAAUUACUGGGCGUAAAGGGUGCGCAGGCGGCGUCGCAAGUCAGGCGUGAAAUCCCCGGGCUUAACCUGGGAAUGGCACUUGAAACUACGAUGCUGGAGUAUGGCAGAGGGAGGUGGAAUUCCACGUGUAGCGGUGAAAUGCGUAGAGAUGUGGAGGAACACCGAUGGCGAAGGCAGCCUCCUGGGCCAAUACUGACGCUCAUGCACGAAAGCGUGGGGAGCAAACAGGAUUAGAUACCCUGGUAGUCCACGCCCUAAACGAUGAUGACUAGUUGUUGGAGGAGUUAAAUCCUUUAGUAACGCAGCUAACGCGAGAAGUCAUCCGCCUGGGGAGUACGGUCGCAAGAUUAAAACUCAAAGGAAUUGACGG
rnacentral:rRNA from 1 species